rnacentral:rRNA from 1 species
UUAAAAUAACUAUUUUUAAAAUAAAUUUACAUAAAUUUAUUUUAGUUUAAAAAUUUAUAAUUAAUUUUUUUUUAUAUAAAUAUUAAUUUAAAUUUAAUAUUUUUUAAUUAUAAUUUUAAUAAUUUGUAAUUAUAAUUGUUAAUAAAUUAACAAGAAUAUUUAUUUUAAUAUAUAAAAUUUAAUUUUAUAUAAAUUUAUAAUUAAGAAAAUUUAAUUUUUAUUGUCAAAUAUUUGUGCCAGCAGUCGCGGUUAUACAAAAAAUAUAUAAAUUAUUUUAAAUACAAAAAUUUAAUAAUAAAUAAAUAUUUAAUUUAAAAUAAUUUAUUAAAAGUGAAAUUUUUAAAUUAUUAAAUAAAUUAUUUAAUAAUCAAUUUUAUAUUAAAAAAUUUUAAUUUUGAAAAAUCAUUAUGAUUUAAACUAGAAUUAGAUACUCUAUUAUAAAUUGAUAACAAAUUUAAUUUAAAUUACUAAUAGUUAGUUACUAAAAAUUUAAAGAAAAUGGCAGUUAAUUAUUUAAUUUAGAGGAACUUGAAUAUUUAUAAGAUUUGAUAAUUCACGAUAAAUUAUAUCUUAUAAUAAUAUUUUUAUAUCGUUGUUAUAAAAAUUUUUAUACACAAUUAUUUUAAUUUUAAAAUUUUAAGUUAUAUCAAAUCAAGAUUUAGUAAUUAUAAGAAUUAUAUUGAGUUACAAUUAAAAAAAUUUUUAUAUUAAAUAAUGAAAUAUUUUAUUUUUAUUGGAUUUAAAUGUAAUUUUAAUUUUAUUAUUUAAAAUGAUUAUAAUUUUAAUUAAUGUACAUAUUGCCCGUCACUCUUUUUUAAAUAAUCUAACUUUUAUUUAAUUAAAGAUAAGUCGUAACAUAGUAGAGGUACUGGAAAGUGCUUCUAGAUAGAUUUAUUAUAAAUUUAAAUUA